ACACUGGUGGUUCAGUGGUAGAAUUUUCACCUUCCAUGCAGGGGUUCUGGGUUCAAUUCCCAGCCAAGGCA
rnacentral:tRNA from 1 species